CGACCCCAGGUUAGGCGGGGUUACCCGCUGAAUUUAAGCA
rnacentral:rRNA from 1 species